rnacentral:rRNA from 1 species
CCUACGGGAGGCAGCAGUGAGGAAUAUUGGACAAUGGACGAGAGUCUGAACCAGCCAAGUAGCGUGAAGGAUGACUGCCCUAUGGGUUGUAAACUUCUUUUAUAUGGGAAUAAAAUGUUCCACGUGUGGGAUUUUGUAUGUACCAUAUGAAUAAGGAUCGGCUAACUACGUGCCAGCAGCCGCGGUAAUACGGAGGGUCCGAGCGUUAUCCGGAUUUAUUGGGUUUAAAGGGAGCGUAGGUGGAUUGUUAAGUCAGUUGUGAAAGUUUGCGGCUCAACCGUAAAAUUGCAGUUGAAACUGGCAGUCUUGAGUACAGUAGAGGUGGGCGGAAUUCGUGGUGUAGCGGUGAAAUGCUUAGAUAUCACGAAGAACUCCGAUUGCGAAGGCAGCUCACUGGACUGCAACUGACACUGAGGCGCGAAAGUGUGGGUAGCAAACAGGAUUAGAUACCCGAGUAGUC